UACGGAGGAUGCAAGCGUUAUCCGGAAUGAUUGGGCGUAAAGCGUCCGCAGGUGGUUAUGUAAGUCUGCUGUUAAAGAGUCAUGCUCAACAUGAUAAGGGCAGUGGAAACUACAAGACUAGAGUGCGUUCGGGGCAGAGGGAAUUCCUGGUGUAGCGGUGAAAUGCGUAGAGAUCAGGAAGAACACCGGUGGCGAAAGCGCUCUGCUAGGCCGCAACUGACACUGAGGGACGAAAGCUAGGGGAG
rnacentral:rRNA from 1 species